UACGAAGGGGGCUAGCGUUGUUCGGAAUUACUGGGCGUAAAGCGCACGUAGGCGGAUCGAUCAGUCAGGGGUGAAAUCCCAGAGCUCAACUCUGGAACUGCCUUUGAUACUGAGGAUCUUGAGUAUGGGAGAGGUGAGUGGAACUGCGAGUGUAGAGGUGAAAUUCGUAGAUAUUCGCAAGAACACCAGUGGCGAAGGCGGCUCACUGGCCCAUUACUGACGCUGAGGCACGAAAGCGUGGGGAGCAAACAGG
rnacentral:rRNA from 1 species